rnacentral:rRNA from 1 species
CCUACGGGAGGCUGCAGUGGGGAAUAUUGGACAAUGGGGGGAACCCUGAUCCAGCCAUGCCGCGUGUGUGAAGAAGGCCCUCGGGUUGUAAAGCACUUUCAGUGAGGAAGAACGCCUGGUGGUUAAUACCCAUCAGGAAAGACAUCACUCACAGAAGAAGCACCGGCUAACUCCGUGCCAGCAGCCGCGGUAAUACGGAGGGUGCGAGCGUUAAUCGGAAUUACUGGGCGUAAAGCGCGCGUAGGUGGCUUGAUAAGCCGGUUGUGAAAGCCCCGGGCUCAACCUGGGAACGGCAUCCGGAACUGUCAAGCUAGAGUGCAGGAGAGGAAGGUAGAAUUCCCGGUGUAGCGGUGAAAUGCGUAGAGAUCGGGAGGAAUACCAGUGGCGAAGGCGGCCAUCUGGACUGACACUGACACUGAGGUGCGAAAGCGUGGGUAGCAAACAGGAUUAGAUACCCUAGUAGUC